rnacentral:rRNA from 1 species
CCCUUAGAUGUUCUGGGCCGCACGCGUGCUACACUGAUGCAUUCAACGAGUCUAAAACCUGGUCUGAUAGGGCUGGGUAAUCUUUUGAAAGUGCAUCGUGAUUGGGAUAGAUGAUUGCAAUUCUUCAUCUUCAACGAGGAAUGCCUAGUAAACGCAAGUCAUCAGCUUGCAUUGAUUACGUCCCUGCCCUUUGUACACACCGCCCGUCGCUCCUACCGAUUGAAUGAUCCGAUGAAUACCAUGGAUUGAGAGUACGAAUAGGUUCGCUUAUUUCUGCUGCUCGAGAAGUGGAGUAAAUCUUAUCAUUUAGAGGAAGUAAAAGUCGUAACA